rnacentral:rRNA from 1 species
UACGUAGGGUGCAAGCGUUGUCCGGAAUUAUUGGGCGUAAAGAGCGCGCAGGCGGUCGUUCAAGUCGCGUGUGAAAGCCCCCCGGCUCAACUGGGGAGGGUCACGCGAUACUGAUCGACUCGAAGGCAGGAGAGGGAAGUGGAAUUCCCGGUGUAGUGGUGAAAUGCGUAGAUAUCGGGAGGAACACCAGUGGCGAAGGCGACUUCCUGGCCUGUUCUUGACGCUGAGGCGCGAAAGCUAGGGGAGCAAACGGG